AGGACGAACGCUGGCGGCGUGCUUAACACAUGCAAGUCGAACGGUAAGGCCUUUCGGGGUACACGAGUGGCGAACGGGUGAGUAACACGUGGGUGAUCUGCCCUGCACUUUGGGAUAAGCCUGGGAAACUGGGUCUAAUACCGAAUAUGACCAUGGGAUGCAUGUCUUGUGGUGGAAAGCUUUUGCGGUGUGGGAUGGGCCCGCGGCCUAUCAGCUUGUUGGUGGGGUUACGGCCUACCAAGGCGACGACGGGUAGCCGGCCUGAGAGGGUGUCCGGCCACGACUGGGACUGAGAUACGGCCCAGACUCCUACGGGAGGCAGCAGUGGGGAAUAUUGCACAAUGGGCGAAAGCCUGAUGCAGCGACGCCGCGUGAGGGACGAAGGCCUUCGGGUUGUAAACCUCUUUCAGCACAGACGAAGCGCAAGUGACGGUAUGUGCAGAAGAAGGACCGGCCAACUACGUGCCAGCAGCCGCGGU
rnacentral:rRNA from 1 species